AGUCGUAACAAGGUAUCCGUAGGUGAACCUGCGGAUGGAUCAUUAACAAAGGUGUUUUUGAAGUUGUGUGAACAGUUGGAGGAGGUGGUGGUGGUGGUGGUAUUGGGUGGUAUUGAGUGGUGUAACCUUGGUCAACCUCACUCAACCUCACUCAACCUCACUCAACCUCACUCAACCUCACUCUCCCAACCUCACUCUCCCAACCUCCACCACUCCGUCCCUAUAAUGUAAUGUAUACAAACUGAUGUCUGCUAGUUUCAAACUAAAACAACUUUUAGCAACGGAUCUCUUGGCUCUC
rnacentral:misc_RNA from 1 species